GAACGAACUCUGAAACCAGCCGGCCACUCCUCUCUGGCCCGAGCAGGCUCUGUGUGCGCCCUGCAGCAGUGUCCAAGCCCCCGCCCUCUUGGCACUUGGGUUCUUGUUCUGCGUCCAGGAAGAAUUAGAUCACAUGAAGGGAUUAAAAGACUUACCUCUCUUUGAAAACAGAAGAUUGAGACUGAUUUAUUGGUAUGGAUAAUACAAAAGCAAACUACUCAAUUCCUCCACAUCUUAGGGGAUUGGCUUUGGAUUAGAGGUGCCAGAAGGUCGGUAUACAAUUUCUGUAAGGUUAUUAUUCUAAACAUAUUUUUGGAUGAUUAUUGUGUGUUAGGUGCUGAGACAGAUAUAAGGAUAAAUGAAGAAUUUUUUCCCUUGUACAAUACAGUAAUUUUUGAAUUCCAGCUGUUAUUAGUACUUGUGUAUGUCUCUAACAGAAGUCACCUCUCGUUCUGUACAUAUUUCUGAAACUCACUCACCACUGAUAAAUUAACAGUAAGCACUUGAUAUUCCUUC
rnacentral:lncRNA from 1 species